UACGAGGGGGGCAAAUGUUGUUCGGAAUCACUGGGCGUAAAGGGAGCGUAGGCGGGUUUUUAAGUCAGGUGUUCAAUCCCGGGGCCCAACCCCGGACAGGCACUUGAAACUGGGAAUCUUGAAUAGUGGAGAGGUCAGUGGAAUUGGGGGUGUAGCGGUGGAAUGCGUAGAGAUCCCCAAGAACACCCGUUGCGAAGGCGGCUGACUGGACACAUAUUGACGCUGAGGCUCGAAAGCAUGGGGAGCAAACAGG
rnacentral:rRNA from 1 species